AGGAUUAAUAAAACAGAACUGGAGU
rnacentral:piRNA from 1 species